ensembl:lncRNA
AUGUCAGGACGGGGCCCACCUUCAGACUCUCGUCACCAUGUCAGGACGGGGCCCACCUGCAGACUCUUGCCACCAUGUCAGGACGGGGCCCACCUUCAGGCUCUUGCCACCAUGUCAGGACGGGGCCCACCUGCAGACUCUCGCCACCAUGUUAGGACGGGGCCCACCUGCAGACUCUCGCCACCAUGUCAGGACGGGGCCCACCUUCAGACUCUUGCCACCAUGUCAGGAUGGGGCCCACCUUCAGACUCUUGCCACCAUGUCAGGACGGGGCCCACCUUCAGGCUCUUGCCACCAUGUCAGGACGGGGCCCACCUUCAGACUCUUGUCAUCAUGUCAGGAUGGGGACUCACCUUCAGACUCAUGCCACCAUGUGAGGAUGGGAAUUCACCUUCAGACUCUCAUUACCAUGUCAGGAUGGGGACUCACCUUCAGACUUAUGCCACCACGUCAGGAUGGGACCCACCUUCAGACUCUUGUCACCAUGUCAGGACGGGGACUCACCUUCAGACUCAUGCCACCACGUCAGGAUGGGACCCACCUUCAGACUCUUGUCAUCAUGUCAGGACGGGGACUCACCUUCAGACUCUUGUCACCACGUCAGGACGGGGACUCACCUUCAGACUCUUGCCACCACCUCAGGAUCGGGACCCACCUUCAGACUCUUGCCACCACGUCAGGAUGGGACCCACCUUCAGACUCUUGUCACCACCUCAGGACGGGACCCACCUUCAGACUCUUGUCACCACGUCAGGACGGGGACUCACCUUCAGACUCUUGUCAUCCUGUCAGGACGGGGACUCACCUUCAGACUCUUGUCAUCGUGUCAGGACGGGGACUCACCUUCAGACUCUUGUCAUCGUGUCAGGACGGGGACUCACCUUCAGACUCUUGUCAUCGUGUCAGGACGGGGACUCACCUUCAGACUCUUGUCAUCGUGUCAGGACGGGUACUCACCUUCAGACUCUUGUCAUCGUGUCAGGACGGGGACUCACCUUCAGACUCUUGCCACCACGUCUGGAUGGGACCCACCUUCAGACUCUUGUCACCACGUCAGGAUGGGGACUCACCUUCAGACUCUUGCCACCAUGUCAGGACGGGACCCACCUUCAGACUCUUGCCACCAUGUCAGGAUGGGACCCACCUUCAGACUCUUGCCACCAGUCCUACUUUUCUCUGUCUUCUGACUCCAGAGCAUGUCCUAGACAGGGACAGAGGAACAUAAGAGGGAAAACAGAACUGGAAAUGGGUCAACAGCUCACCCGGCCUCUCCAGCACUAG